rnacentral:lncRNA from 1 species
AUAAUUUGUCACCACAAUACAAAUUUUCGUUAUGGCUAAAAGUGAAAGUAAAUAGAUGCAAAAGUCCAAUCUAAAUCCCACCCUGACUAUUCUAGAUUCAAAGGCAAUCCACGUGCAAUCUCCUUAUUAUUUCAAACCCACAAGCAUUUGUAACUACAACAUGUAAUCGAUAUUUUCUCUCAUUAUUGGUAAGUAUCGAACAUUAAUAAUCUAACUAAUAUUUCUCCAAUUAAUUUCUUUUUAGAAACACAGUGAAACCUCGACAUAUUAUUUUAAUAUUUUUUAGUCAGCAAUUAUAGAAGUUUCUUUAUUUCAUGUUCAUAGAUAAACUCGGGGUAUUCCCCGAAUUGUUUAUACGUUUGAAGACGCACAGUGUAAAUUUGUGUGCAUUAAAAUUAUUGUUAUAAAGAACAUUUGGCUAUAACGAACAUCACGGUAUUAAUCCGAGGUUUUACUGUAAAACGAUUGUAAUUCAAACAAUGCUAAAAAUGUAAUUGAUUUAAAUAGAAAUAAGCACAAUUAAAAUUUUCAAGAUUAACUUUAAAAAACUGUAAGAAAAUAAUGUCUAGAACCGAUAUAAGCCUGUACUCGUAAUUUGACUGUUGUCCUUCUGAAGAUGGUUUAAUGUAAACCGAAACCGGUAAAGGAAGUAAAAAUAAAGAAAAUUCCAUUGUAAAGUACAAUAAAUUUAAUUUAAUCAUCCACAAUGGAAAGAAAGUUUAACAAUUUCAACAAUUGUAGGUAAGUUUUAAUUUUAAUUUUAAAAUUUUAAAUGGUUAAUUAAAAAUUUUCGACUGAUCACAGAGUAGUAAGAACCGCAACUAAAUUCAGGCAAUAAGAAGUUAUGCCCUUUCGCUGUUUGCAUCUAUAUUAUUAUUUUAAAAUAAUUGGAAAAUCGUAUGUCAAGGACGAAUUAAGAUAAAUUGAUGAAAUAGCAAACAUUUAAAAGAGCUGACGUCACGAACGGUCCUUCGAUCUGUAUACCUGUCUGAUUUAAAUAUAAAUAGAAGUAUAAAUAGAAGUACACUUGUAGCAACUCCAGUAUUUCCCAAAAAUAAAUAAUCAACUCCCAAAGCUUUUAAGAUGUGUAUCAUCAUCGUGCAUUGUCUCG